ACCUUUAGCUCAGUUGGUUAGAGCAACCGGCUCAUAACCGGUCGGUCGUAGGUUCGAGUCCUACAAGGUCC
rnacentral:tRNA from 1 species